CCCCACUGCUAUCGGGAUGGGACUAAGACAUGCUAGUCGUGCGUCUCCAAGCCAUGGCGGAGACGCGGCGCACAGCUCAGUAACACGUGGCUAACCUGCCCUUAGGACAGGGACAACCCCGGGAAACUGGGGCUAAUCCCUGAUAGGUGAGGGUUCCUGGAAUGGGCCCUCGCCGAAAGGGCGUCUAGACCAUGCUUCUAGGCGCUGCCCAAGGAUGGAGCCGCGGCCGAUCAGGUUGUUGGUGAGGCAACGGCUCACCAAGCCUUUAACCGGUACGGGCCGUGAGAGCGGGAGCCCGGAGAUGGGUACUGAGACAAGGACCCAGGCCCUACGGGGCGCAGCAGUCGCGAAAACUCCGCAAUACGCGAAAGCGUGGCGGGGCUAUCCCGAGUGCCGUCCGCUGAGGAUGGCUUUUCCCUAGUGUAUAAAGCUGGGGGAAUAAGGAGAGGGCAAGCCUGGUGUCAGCCGCCGCGGUAAUACCAGCUCUCCGAGUGGUGGGGAUGCUUAUUGGGCCUAAAGCAUUCGUAGCCGGUUGGGCAAGUCCUCCGUUAAAUCCAGCGAUUCAAUCGUUGGACUGCGGGGGAUACUGCCCGGCUUGGGGGCGGAAGAGGCCGACGGUAUUCUCGGGGUAGGGGUGAAAUCCUAUAAUCCCGGGAGGACCACCAGUGGCGAAGGCUGUCGGCUAGAACGCGCCCGACGGUGAGGGAUGAAAGCUGGGGGAGCGAACCGGAUUAGAUACCCGGGUAGUCCCAGCCGUAAACGAUGCAGGCUAGGUGUUGGCGCGGCUACGUGCCGCUCCAGUGCCGCAAGGAAGCCGUUAAGCCUGCCGCCUGGGAAGUACGGCCGCAAGGCUGAAACUUAAAGGAAUUGGCGGGGGAGCACCACAAGGGGUGAAGCUUGCGGUUU
rnacentral:rRNA from 1 species